rnacentral:lncRNA from 11 species
CAAGCCCUAUGAGGAGCGGCGAUAAAGAGCUGGGCAUGUUUAGCCUGCAGAAGAGAAGGCUGAGAGGAGACAUGAUAGCCAUGUACAAAUACGUGAAGGGAAGUCAAAGGGAGGAGGGAGGGAGCUUGUUUUCUGCUGCCCUGCAGACUAGGACACAAGGGAACAAGGGCUUCAAACUACAGGAAAGGAAGGAGAUUCCACCUGAACAUCAGGAAGAACUUCCUCACUGUGAGAAGGGCUGUUCACCAGUGGAACUCUCUCCCCCGGGCCGUGGUGGAGGCUCCUUCUUUGGAGGCUUUUAAGCAGAGGCUGGAUGGCCAUCUGUCGGGGGUGCUUUGAAUGCGAUUUCCUGCUUCUUAGCGGGGGGUUGGACUAGAUGGCCCAUGAGGUCUCUUCCAACUCUACUAUUCUAUGAUUCUUGUGUUGUAUGUGCAAAGCCCUUCUGCUCUUCCAGAGAAGCUCACCCUCGAGGGUCUUCUUGACCGACCCCUUGUUUUCCUUCCCCAGAUUGAAGACCUCUCUCAGCAGGUCCACAAAGCGGCAGCGGAGAAGUUCAAGGUCCCCGUGGAGCACUCGCCUCUGAUCACGGAGGCGGCCCCAACGCUCACCAUCAAGGAGGAGAGCGAGGAGGAGGAGGAGAUUGACGAGACUGGCCUGGAGGUGAGAGAUAUUGAGCUGGUCAUGGCUCAGGCGAACGUGUCGCGGGCCCAAGGCCGUGAGGGCCCCUCCGGCACAGCAACAAGCGAUAUUGUGAAACGCCAUUCAUGGUGAAGUCCUUGUAACAUAAGGACCCUUUUGUGGGCAACGGGGAGUUGGUGCAAUGGGACAACUGAACAGAGGAAC